rnacentral:lncRNA from 1 species
AGGGGGUUGGGCACCAGGGGUGGGGAGCGGCCAGUCUGCUAGUUCACACCCAAAAACUGAGUUUCCCCAGCCAGACGCCUGCUGUCCCCCCGCCCCACCCCGCGGAGUCGCCUUCGAGGGUGGAAACAAAGCACCCGGGGUGGCCUCUCCAACUCCACUGGCGGGGUUCAGUCCUCCCCCACCAACCUCCAGCCCGAGUGGAUUCCGAGCCCAGCUCCGGAAACCAGUCUGACCACUUUGCCCAUUUCCCAAGCCUCCCCGGGCGGCGGGCAGCCGGCUGCCAGGGUAGGUGAGCCCGGUUCAGCCGCAGCCUCCUUGCCUCUGCGAUGAAUGGAUUUGCCCAGAAGGCAGGUGGCAAAAUGACACUCCCGCCCCCGCGCUAGGGGCUCCCCACUCGGUCUCCCUCCAUCGCGAAAACCGGUGCUUGGAAGCUCCCUGGGGGCUGGGGGUGGGAGGCAAGUCUCCUCUCACCCUCGGGGUCGCCGCCUAGCCCUGACGACCCGAGCAGAGCCGUCUCUUGGUCUCGCUGGGUGCGCGGGCUGCCCUGGGGUGAUUCAUUCAACAUGGCAGUUCCCAUACUCAUCGCACAAGGCGUGGACGACACAAAGAGAUGGCUUGCCUGCAAGAGACCCAGCUGGUCCAGAGUCGGAGGCACAUUUCAUUUCUCUGGCCAGCUGGAGAGGCGGCCGGAGCAGACGAGGAGAUCGCCUCUAAUGUUCUAAAUGUCAAUAUGGUCCCUACUGGCUGACUCGCCAAGAUUUGAUCAGCAAAUUGGCCUGCGUGAUGUGUUCCCUGCAAUGCACGGUGUGUGUUUAAAUCUUUCAACAGUGUCAUGAAAGAAGCUGAAGAACAGUAAACAAUUCUCAG